UAGUAAGAGUUAAGCAGGCUUCCUGCCAGC
rnacentral:piRNA from 1 species